CCUACGGGAGGCAGCAGUGAGGAAUAUUGGUCAAUGGGCGCGAGUCUGAACCAGCCAAGUAGCGUGAAGGAUGACUGCCCUACGGGUUGUAAACUUCUUUUAUAAAGGAAUAAAGUGAGGCACGUGUGCCUUUUUGUAUGUACUUUAUGAAUAAGGAUCGGCUAACUCCGUGCCAGCAGCCGCGGUAAUACGGAGGAUCCGAGCGUUAUCCGGAUUUAUUGGGUUUAAAGGGAGCGUAGGUGGGUGGUUAAGUCAGUUGUGAAAGUUUGCGGCUCAACCGUAAAAUUGCAGUUGAUACUGGGUGUCUUGAGUGCAGCAGAGGUAGGAGGAAUUCGUGGUGUAGCGGUGAAAUGCUUAGAUAUCACGAAGAACUCCGAUUGCGAAGGCAGCUUACAAAACUGUAACUGACGCUGAGGCUCGAAAGUGUGGGUAUCAAACAGGAGUAGAUACCCUUGUAGUC
rnacentral:rRNA from 1 species